UACGUAGGGUGCAAGCGUUAAUCGGAAUUACUGGGCGUAAAGCGUGCGCAGGCGGCUUUGCAAGACAGAUGUGAAAUCCCCGGGCUCAACCCUGGGAACUGCAUUUGUGACUGCAUAGCUAGAGUGCGGCAGAGGGGGAUGGAAUUCCGCGUGUAGCAGUGAAAUGCGUAGAUAUGCGGAGGAACACCGAUGGCGAAGGCAACCUCCCGCGGCCUGCACUGACGCUCAGUGCAGAAAGCGUGGGGAGCAAACAGG
rnacentral:rRNA from 1 species